GGGAGGGGCUCCCACGGUGCAGCUGCGGGCUGAAGGGCUCCUCAAGCGCGGCCAGAGUGGGCUGAGGCCGAGGAGGCGCGGAGAGCCAGCGAGGGAUGCCAGCAAGCUGUCACCUCUCAGAAAUACAGGAAGAACAUCAAUAAUGUUCGAAGUUAUAAAUUGCGGAGGUCAGAAGUCAGAAAACAAGGUGUCUGCAGGACCAACCUCUCCUCUGGAUGCUCUAGGUGUUGAAAUUUCCAGGAUGCAAAACGAAGGGGCAAUUCAAAACAUUCAUCUCCACUUCUCAAAAACAUCGAGUCAUGAAUAUGGAAUGACUUCACCUGACUUCACUUGAAAUUCACUUAAUUUUCAACUCUGUUGGCUAUGAG
rnacentral:lncRNA from 1 species